GGGCUCAGGCCAAAGCCUAGAACACCUAACGGAAGGACUUACUCUCGAUUGGGAGCUUAGGUCAUAAUCUAGUGCACUUGAUCGAAGGGCCUACUCUCAGUUGGGAGCUUAGCUUAAGGUUGAGCACACUUGAUCGAAGGGCAUACCCUCAGUUGGGGGCUCUGGCCAAGGCCAAACACACCACACUGAAGGGUCUACCCUAGGUUGGAAGCUCAAGCUCGGGCCACGACCGAGUACACCGGACUGAAGGGCAUACUGUCGGUUGGGAGCUCAGGCCAAGGCCGAGCACACUUGAUCAAAGGGCUUUCUAUUGGUUGAGGGCUCAGGAUAAAGCUAAGCACACUUGACCUUAGGGCCUACCCUCGGUUGAGAGCUCAAGCCAAAGCCGAGCACAUCAGACUAAAGGUCCUAUCGCAGUUGGAAGCUCAGGCCCAAGUAGAGCACACCUGACUGAAAGGCCUUCCCUUGGUUAAGGUCUCAGGCAAAGCCGAGUAGACCGCAAAGCCUUGUAGACCUAAUUGAGAUGCCAACCUUCGGUUUGGUUGGGAGUUAGAGCCAAGGCCAAGCACACCUGACGGAAGGUAUUCCCCUCAUUGGGAGCUGAGGCCAAGGCCGAGAUCCUCGGUUGGGGGCUCGAACCAUGGUCGAGCACACCUAACCAAAGAGCCUAACCUCGGUUGGGAGCUCAAGCAAGGCCAAGCAUAGCUGACCGAAGGGCCUUGCCUCGAUUGGGGGAUGAGGCUAAAGUCGAACACCUUGAUUGAAGGUUUUAGCUUCUGUUGGGGGCUUAGGCCUAGGCCGAGCACACUUGACCAAAGUGCCAACUCUCAAUUGGGAGUUUAAGCUAAGGCCGAGCGCACUUAGCCAAAGGGCCUACCCUCAGUUAGGAGCUCAGGCCAAGGCCGUGCAAACCUAUCCGAAGGGCCUACUCUCAGUUUGGGGUUAGGACAAAGCCGAGCUCACAUGAUCGAAGGGUCUACCCUCGGUUAAGGGCUCUGGUUAAGGCCAAACACACAAGACCGAGGGGCCUACCCUCGAUUGGGGGCUCAGGCCAUGGCCGAGAAGACCUGACUGAGGGGCCUACACUCGGUUGGGUGCUUAGGCCAAGGUCGGGCACACCUGACGAAAGGGCUUACCCUUAGUUGGGAGCUCAAGCUAAAGCCGAGCAUAGAUGACCAAAGGUCUAUGCCUCUGUUGGAGGCUCAAGCCAAAGCCGAGCACACCUGACUGAAGUGCCUACCUUCAGUUGGGAGUUCAGGCCCAAGCUGAGCAAACCUGACCGAAGGGCCUUCCCUCGAUUGGGAGCUCACGCCAAUGCCGAGCACCCUGCUUGCUCAGAGAACCUUCUCCCAUAAAAUAGUCAAAUGUGCCUGAGCAUAGUUUACUUUGGAGACUCAAAUAUGUUUUUCCCAAAAAAAAGGUGGGAAUGAUGGAAUUUAAAAAAUAUAUAUAUAAAAAAACUAUAAAAAAGUUUGUGAUCACCCACUCCGUGUUCACUGUCUAAUUUUAACAAUAGGGCUUCUAAUCUUAAAAAGAGUACCAAAGAAAAAAAGGGGGGACCAAGGGGGAUACAAAGUGAAAGACAACAUUCACUUUUGUUUGAUUACUAGCACUUAGCUUGUAGCGUAAGCUUAGUUUUAUUCACUAGUUUGAUUUACAAGAACCAAGUUCUUGCUAUCAUAAAAUUUAUUAAUAAUUUUUUUCUAAUUAUGCAAGAACUUGACUUGGGUAAGGACAAGGUAAGAUUUAUGUAAUAGAUUUAUUUCCUAGAAACGAAAUUAUCUUGUUUAUACCUAUUCUCCAAAUAUGCAGUGCAACAUGAACUUGGUUUUAGAUGAGCGUUGCUUAUAUCAAAGAUUCUAGAACUACAGAUAAGUUUUUCCUUUGUCUUCUAUUUUGUUUCUGAAUAUCAUUCAUGUUAAUGAAUUUAGAAAUCAAUAUUUAUUUGUAGGAGAAAGAGAAAAGGAGAACCUGUCAAAAUACUAGCACCAAGGUGGGAAGGCGUCAGGGAACUCCUCACUGUUUAAUCUUGACAAUAGUACUUCUUAUCUAAAAGGAGCACCAGAAGAAGGGGGGGGGACUAAUAAAGAUACAAAGAACUUGACUUGGAUAACGAUAAGGUAAGAUUUAUGUAGUAGAUUUCUUUCCUAGAAACGAUGUUAUCUUGUUUAUACAUAUUCUCCAAAUAUGUAGUUUUUUAUUAUUCCACAACCCCCUUCCAAAAAAAAAUAUAUAUAUAUAUAUAUAAAUUAUGUACGUAGUCGGGAUUUCUUUGUUUGCCACUAAAAGCUGUGUAGCAUGAACUUGGUUGAAGAUGAGCCUUGCUUACAUCAAAGGUUGUAGAACUGCAGAUAAGUUUUGCCUAUGUUUUCUAUUUGUUUCCGAAUAUCAUUCAUGUUGAUGAAUUUAGAAAUCAAUCUUUAUUUGCAGGAGAAAGAGAAAAGGAGAAUCUGUUAAAAUACUAGCGCCAAGGUAUCUUAGUAAUUCCAGUUGCUAUUUUAUUUGCUGCACAUUUUCAGAACUGAUCUAUCUCCUCCCUUCUUUAUCACUUACACCUUGGUGUGGGAAGGCGUUAGGGGACUUCGCACUAAUUAAUCUUGACAGUAGUAUGUCUUAUCUAAAAAGGACUACGAAAGAGAAGGGGGGAGUAAUGAGGAUAUAAAGUGAGGGACAAUAUUCACUUUUGUUUGAUUACUACCACUCAGUCUGUAAUGCAUGUUUAGUUAAAUUCACUAUAUUGUUUUACAAGAACUAAUUUUUUGUUUUCAUAAAAUUUAUUGAUAGUUUUUCACCAAUUGUGCAGGAACUUGACUUGGGUAUCGUCGAGCUAAAAGCACUCCUACAUGAACGUGGAUGUAGAUGAGCCUUGCUUACAACAAAGAUUGUAUAAUUGCAGAUAAGUUAUGC